rnacentral:tRNA from 1 species
GCCUGGGUAGCUCAGUGGUAGAGCACAUGACUGAAAAUCAUGGUGUCGGCAGUCCGAUCCUGCCCCCAGGCACCA